GACGAACGCUGGCGGCGUGCUUAGCACAUGCAAGUCGAACGGAAAGGCCCUGCUUUUGUGGGGUGCUCGAGUUGCGACCUGGUGAGUAACACGUGAGUACCCUGCCCCUGACUUUGGGAUAACUUCAUGCAACUUGGGCUAAUACCGGAUAGGAUCUCCUGCUGCUUGGUGGGGGUUGGAUAGUUUCGGCGGUUGGUGAUGGACUCGCGGCUUAUCAGCUUGUUGGUGGGGUAGUGGGUUACCAAGGCUUGGACCGGUAGCCGGCCUGAGCGGGGUACCGGACAAAUUAGGAUUGAGAUACGGCACGGACUAGAACGGGAGGCAGGAGAGGAGAAGAUUGCACAAUGGGAGGAAGCAUGAUGCAGCAAAGCAGCGUGGGGGAUGACGGGAUUCGGGUUGGAAACCGAUUUCGCCUGUGACGAAGCGUGAGUGACAGUAAUGGGUAAAGAAGCACCGGCUAACUACGUG
rnacentral:rRNA from 1 species